AGCCUAGUGGAUUUAUAUUAGGUGGUUUCUGCCCAGUGAUUGGUUUUAAACGGCCGCAGUACCCUGACUGUGCUAAGGUAGCAUAAUCAAUUGGCUUUUAAUUGGAGUCUGGAAUAAAUGGGAGGAUGAGGAUUUACUGUCUUAAUUGAAAUAAUUUGAAUUUUCUUACAAGGUGAAAAUUCCUUGAGCUAAGAAGAAAGACGAGAAGACCCUUAGAAUUUUUAUAAGAGGUUAAGGUGAAGUUUAGCUUAAUUUUUGUUGGGGCGACAGGUUAACAUUUUAAACUUAUUUUGCAUAUGCAUGCCAUGAUAUAUAGUGAAAGAGAAAAUUACCUUAGGGAUAACAGCAUAAUUUUUUAAAAAGAUUGUGACCUCGAUGUUGGACUAGGAAUUAUAGUAAUUAGUAAUUACUGUAAAUAGUUCUGUUCGAACUUUAUCUCCU
rnacentral:rRNA from 1 species